rnacentral:rRNA from 1 species
CAGUAGCCGCGGGAAUACGUAGGUCCCGAGCGUUGUCCGGAUUUAUUGGGCGUAAAGGGAGCGCAGGCGGUUUAGUAAGUCUGAAGUUAAAGGCAUUGGCUCAACCAAUGUAUGCUUUGGAAACUGUUAGACUUGUGUGCAGAAGGGGAGAGUGGAAUUCCAUGUGUAGCGGUGAAAUGCGUAGAUAUAUGGAGGAACACCGGUGGCGAAAGCGGCUCUCUGGUCUGUCACUGACGCUGAGGCUCGAAAGCGUGGGUAGCGAACAGGAUUAGAUACCCCCGUAGUCCCUGUCUCUUAUACA